rnacentral:tRNA from 1 species
UAAGAAAUGAGAGGUUCAGUGGGCUCUGUGUCUAUUUUAUCAAAAUAGUCC